rnacentral:rRNA from 1 species
UGGGGAAUUUUGGACAAUGGGCGAAAGCCUGAUCCAGCAAUGCCGCGUGUGUGAAGAAGGCCUUCGGGUUGUAAAGCACUUUUGUCCGGAAAGAAAUCCUUGGCUCUAAUACAGUCGGGGGGAUGACGGUACCGGAAGAAUAAGCACCGGCUAACUACGUGCCAGCAGCCGCGGUAAUACGUAGGGUGCAAGCGUUAAUCGGAAUUACUGGGCGUAAAGCGUGCGCAGGCGGUUUGCUAAGACCGAUGUGAAAUCCCCGGGCUCAACCUGGGAACUGCAUUGGGUGACUGGGCAGGCUAGAGUAUGGCAGAGGGGGGUAGAAUUCCACGUGUAGCAGUGAAAUGCGUAGAGAUGUGGAGGAAUACCGAUGGCGAAGGCAGCCCCCUGGGCCAAUACUGACGCUCAUGCACGAAAAGCGUGGGGGAGCAAAACAGGAUUAGAUACCCCUGGGUAGUCCACGCCCUAAACGAUGUCAACUAGUUGUUGGGGAUUCAUUUCCUUAGUAACGUAGCUAACGCGUGAAGUUGACCGCCUGGGGAGUACGGUCGCAAGAUUAAAAC